rnacentral:lncRNA from 10 species
CAAGACCCUUCUUCAUUCCAGCGCCCCCUCUACUCCUAUCCAGUGAUAUCUUCCAGAUUUUCAGAAAUAAUUUUUUAGAUACACAGAAACAAACAUUUCUACCAGGAUCUAAAAAUAGCCAUCACCUUCUUUAGCCCAUUUAACUUGACGAAAUGUGUCCCUCCCAUUUCAGGGGUAGGGAGGAGGUCCCAGGGAAGAACCUGGUUGCCAAAGUCUCGGCCAGUUGGAGAAGAGAUGGGUCUCCCGAGGAUACCCAAGCCCAAGCUCUACACUGUCCCAAGGUGGUUUGUUUUUCUUCUUUCUUCUAUUGGUCUGGACCUUGUAUAUUCUGGGAGGAGGUGAUUAAGGCCAAAUUGCCUUAAGUGGCCAUCCAGCCAGAAGCUGGAAGAAGGGAAGGAUGAGAGGGAAUGAACUGUUGUGUUACGGCUAUUGAGAGAAACAGUGGCAAUACACAGCCAAAGCCCUGAGUUUCUAAUACGGCGCCACCUCUUAUGAGCUGUGAGAUCUUGGGCAAAGUAACUAACCUUUAAGUAUUUGUCUGUAGAAUUGAGAUUGAAAUACUUAUCUUUGCCAGAAUUGUUAUAAGAAUUAAAUGAGUUGAAAGUGUUUCAUCAAGUGUGCAAUGCUACUCAAGUAGGAGGGACUAAGCUACUUCCUUCUCUCACUGCUUGACUGAGCUUCUCUCCAGCCCCACCCCCUGAUGUUUACUGCUUAUGGAGAAAGAGAUUAAGUGAAGCAGGCCCACACAUUCAUGAAGGUGGAAGGAAGAUGUAGCAGGAGAUGGUGGAGAGGGAAACAGAGGAAGACAGGAUGACAGACGUGGGGAGGAAAGGCUGAGCGAGGCAAUGUCCUGACUCACUCUGGCGCUUCCCUCUUUCCCAUCUGGGCUCCAGAGUCUCUGCCCUCAUUCCCCUUCACCAGGUUGCUCAACCCUCCAUCAGACUGUUAGGUCAAGGGUGGACAAACAGACCAACCGGGAUCUGGAUGGCCCCUGGGCAGUACUGACUUCCCCUACCAUUCCCAUGGCAAGAAAAGGGAGUGAUUCCACUAGCAGACUCCCCUACCCUGCAGUGAGACAGCCUGUAGGAAGGUGAGACUCAGACCCCAAGGUUUCUGCUUUUGCUUUGUUCCUUCGAGAUCUCCAUUCCCCCAUGGGAGAGAAACCUCUCUGUCCCACCUGCCCUCCCCUCCCAUCAGCUUUCAGAUUCUCCAGCUGCUCCUCUUCUGAGACUCACCCAGUCUCAUGCCUCCAUUAGCCUCAACUCCCGACCCAUGGCCUGUGGUGAGAGGUGCUAACAACAUGACCUGCUUUCAUCUUGACCUUCCCAGCCCACCCAGAGAAAAGGGAAUCUUGGCUAAAAAAAGGCUGGAAGAGGGGAGAACCCUGGCACUGCGGGUGGGGCUGGGAGGAGCCCAGGCAACCUUACUGGUGAGAAUCUCAUGGCUCUUCAAGCUGACUGCUAAGCUGGAUGCGUAGGGGAAAGCAGAGAAAAGGUGAUUUACUGGGACACAGAGACACAGGCUGGAAGAGAUAGCAUGUGUUUCCUUAAAAUUUGAAGCAUUUGGCUGGGCACAGUGGCUCACACCUGUAAUCCCUGCACUUUGGGAGGUAAAGGCAAGAGGAUUUCCUGGGCCCAAGAGUUAGAGGCUGCAGUGAGCUAUGAUUGUGCCAUUGUACUCCAGCCUGGGAGACAGAAACCCCCUCUCUUAAAAAAAUAAAAAAAUAAAAAAUGGAACCAUUGCUCUGAGUUUCUAAUAGGGGGAGUGGUGGGAGGUGGCGAUGGUGGGAUGGGAGAAAGGGAACUGGAGAGGGCAGUGGGUCCCAAGCCUCCUGCUUCCCCAGCUGACUCCUACCUUGGCCUUUCCGGUCAUGCCCGAGAGGAAGCUGAAGGUCUGUCGCAGGGAGGAGCCUACCCGGGUACCUGAAUGUCCUUCCAGCUGGCUGCAGCUGCAUAGAGAAAAAGAAGACAUGAGGAGAUGGAGGUAAUGCUGGAAAUGAAGAAAAAGAUAACUUCCUGAGAGAUGGUGGAUGAAGGUGCCAUGACCAGCAGAGCCAGAAUGGGAAGGAAGAAAGAGGAAGGAUUGGGAGAGAAAGAUAAGCCCCCAUCCUGACCUCCUAGGACUUCCUGGAUGUGGGCAUUUCAGUUUCCCAGGCCCCUCUAUUUAGGAAGAAAACUCCAGGCU